UCGCAAUGCCCGAAAGGGUGACGAAGCGACGCCGCGUGUGGGAAGAAGGCCUUCGGGUUGUAAACCACUGUCGGGAGUUAAGAAAUGUAAGGAUGUUAAUAGCGUCCUUACUUGACUAAGGCUCCGGAGGAAGCCACGGCUAACUCUGUGCCAGCAGCCGCGGUAAUACAGAGGUGGCAAGCGUUGUUCGGAAUUAUUGGGCGUAAAGAGCACGUAGGCGGCCUUUGAAAGUCAGUUGUGAAAGCCUUCCGCUUAACGGAAGAACAGCAUCUGAUACUACAGGGCUUGAGUGCGGGAGGGGAGAGUGGAACUUCUGGUGGAGCGGUGAAAUGCGUAGAUAUCAGAAGGAACGCCGGCGGCGAAAGCGGCUUCUCUGGCCCCCGUACUGACGCUGAGUGUGCGAAAGCUACGACAUCAAACGGGGAUUAGAUACCCCGGUAGUCCUAGCCGUAAAGAUGCGGACUAA
rnacentral:rRNA from 1 species